rnacentral:rRNA from 1 species
AAAAGAUGGUUCUGCUAUCACUCUUGGAUGGACCUGCGGUGCAUUAGCUAGUUGGUAAGGUAACGGCUUACCAAGGCAAUGAUGCAUAGCCGAGUUGAGAGACUGAUCGGCCACAUUGGGACUGAGACACGGCCCAAACUCCUACGGGAGGCAGCAGUAGGGAAUCUUCCACAAUGGACGCAAGUCUGAUGGAGCAACGCCGCGUGAGUGAAGAAGGGUUUCGGCUCGUAAAGCUCUGUUGGUAGUGAAGAAAGAUAGAGGUAGUAACUGGCCUUUAUUUGACGGUAAUUACCUAGAAAGUCACGGCUAACUACGUGCCAGCAGCCGCGGUAAUACGUAGGUGGCAAGCGUUGUCCGGAUUUAUUGGGCGUAAAGCGAGUGCAGGCGGUUCAAUAAGUCUGAUGUGAAAGCCUUCGGCUCAACCGGAGAAUUGCAUCAGAAACUGUUGAACUUGAGUGCAGAAGAGGAGAGUGGAACUCCAUGUGUAGCGGUGGAAUGCGUAGAUAUAUGGAAGAACACCAGUGGCGAAGGCGGCUCUCUGGUCUGCAACUGACGCUGAGGCUCGAAAGCAUGGGUAGCGAACAGGAUUAGAUACCCUGGUAGUCCAUGCCGU